rnacentral:rRNA from 1 species
CAGCCGCCGCGGUAAUACGAAGGGGGCUAGCGUUGCUCGGAAUGACUGGGCGUAAAGGGCGCGUAGGCGGUUUGUACAGUCAGAUGUGAAAUUCCUGGGCUCAACCUGGGGACUGCAUUUGAGACGUACGGACUUGAGUGGAGAAGAGGGUCGUGGAAUUUCCAGUGUAGAGGUGAAAUUCGUAGAUAUUGGAAAGAACACCGGUGGCGAAGGCGGCGACCUGGUCUUUAACUGACGCUGAGGCGCGAAAGCGUGGGGAGCAAACAGGAUUAGAUACCCCCGUAGUCCCUGUCUCUUAUAA